GAUGUUUAAAGGAUUCAUUUAAUAGAUUAUAUUAUCUACGUUGUUUAUCAACUAUAGCAAUAAACGUUAUAUGUACUAGGUGUAUAGGACGAGGGGGCGGUACCCUCCAUCUCCACCAAAAAUUUAUGGGGAUGAAACAGGUUUGACUUGCUCUGAAUGGUAUAAUUUUUGCUCGUUGGAAGCGUUUCUUCGUUAUAGAGACUUAAUUAUAAUUGCUAAAAAUAAUAACUUAGCUCUCGCUGCCUAAUUAAUUAGGAAAGCGCGGCCUUGGGGCGGCCGGGCAACAGAACGCCCCUCU
rnacentral:tmRNA from 1 species